UAAAGUUAUUUAUCAAUUUCUGAUUUAGCCUAUCAAUGAACCUUUUCCCGAUAUAAAGCGUAACAUUAUGCCUGAUAACUGGAAAAUAAAUACCACGACUUAUUAUUUUAUAUUUUCAUGUAAGAUCUUUAUAGUCCAGGAAAUGUUUAUAGGAUCCAUAGACCGUAUAUGGUCUAUUAUAUGGUUUUCUACAGAGCGUUACCAAUGGAACCGGGUAAUCCGAACUCCCCGAAGAGCAGUCCGUCGUUCGACAGCAUCUCACUCUCUCCCUCUCUCUAUAAAACCUAGCGGGUUUUUCCGCCAGCCAAACAGCGCCAACAACAACGAAGGAAAGUUAAUACAAAUUGAAUAACGAAAGCGACCUGAUCUGUUCGAACUAUCGGGGAAAUUACAGUAUCUCUAUAUAUAUCUAUAGACACACAUACGCAUUCAUUCAUAAUCGAUAUUCUCACUUAUAUAAUAUAAAUUAUUUUUAAGUUUCGCACCGCUCUGUGUUUUUCGCCACGAAAUUAAUGAAAACAUUUAAUUGUGAUGCUAAUGGGCAAAAAGAUACUGAGAAAGUUGCGCUGCGGCAUCAUUGUCAUGAUCAUCAUCAUCAUUAUCAUUAUCGUCGCGAUUAUAGGCCACUUUGAAAGCUCUCUCAUAUAAUAAACAAAGAAAAAAAUCCAAAUAAUUAAAAUGCAAGUGGCAUAUAGAUUGAAUAUAUUUCGAGAACCUAAUUUAUUCGCAUUUCAUUUGUUUGAUUCAGUGUCUGAAAAUUCUAAACCCCCUAAAACCAAUCUAUAAUUCGCUCAUUAAUAUUAAGUAUCGGUUCGCACGCUUUUCAGCUGGCGUGGAAAUUAACCAGAAAAAUAACCAGGGAAUGCUAAAUCCAACCCAGUUAAAAAGCAAUAAAUGGAAAGAAAAGAAAACGGCGAAACAAUCGAAAACGUGUUUAUAUGGACGGCAAACAAAAGCGAAAAUAUUCAUGGUCAGUUGUCGAAUGGAAGGGUGUAUUGGGGUGUACUGGGGUAUAUUUCUAGCACUCAUAUUACGUAUACGCAAAAGAAGAGGGUAACAAUGUGAGGCAAAAUCGUUCGAUUAAGUCGUAAAGCCUAUUAGACGGCAACUAAUUGUCUUAGCAUCCGAAAACAUUCUAAAAUCUGAUUUUUUGACAGCUUAAUAAACGAAAUAAAACUUAUUAUCGGAGAAUAAUCUCCGCCUAAUGGGUU